rnacentral:rRNA from 1 species
CCUACGGGAGGCAGCAGUAGGGAAUAUUGCUCAAUGGGCGAAACCCUGAAGCAGCAACGCCGCGUGGAGGAUGACGGUUCUCGGAUUGUAAACUCCUUUUGUUAGAGAAGUUAAUGACGGUAUCUAACGAAUAAUCACUGGCUAAUUCCGUGCCAGCAGCGGCGGUAAUACGGAGGGUGCAACCGUUACACGGAAUCACUGGGCGUAAAGAGCGCGUAGGCGGGAUAGCAAGUCAGAUGUGAAAUCCUAUGGCUUAACCGUAGAACUGCAUUUGAAACUGUUAUUCUUGAGUAUAGGAGAGGUAGGUGGAAUUCGUGGUGUAGGGGUGAAAUGCGUAGAGAUCAAGAGGAAUACUCAUUGCGAAGGCGGCCUGCUAGAACGUAACUGACGCUGAUGCGCGAAAGCGUGGGGAGCAAACAGGAUUAGAUACCCGAGUAGUC